AAAAAUUUUCAACGGUGGAUGUCUUGGCUCUCAUAUCGAUGAAGAACGCAGCAAAGUGCGAUAAGCAAUGCGAAUUGCAGGCCGUGAGUCAUUAGAAUUUCGAAAGCAACUUGCGCCUCG
rnacentral:rRNA from 1 species